rnacentral:rRNA from 1 species
GGCUUAGAGUUUGAUCAUGGCUCAGGACGAACGCUGGCGGCGUGCUUAACACAUGCAAGUCGAACGGAGCACCCUUGACUGAGGUUUCGGCCAAAUGAUAGGAAUGCUUAGUGGCGGACUGGUGAGUGACGCGUGAGGAACCUGCCUUCCAGAGGGGGACAACAGUUGGAAACGACUGCUAAUACCGCAUGACGCAUGACCGGGGCAUCCCGGACAUGCCAAAGAUUUAUCGCUGGAAGAUGGCCUCGCGUCUGAUUAGCUAGAUGGUGGGGUAACGGCCCACCAUGGCGACGAUCAGUAGCCGGACUGAGAGGUUGACCGGCCACAUUGGGACUGAGAUACGGCCCAGACUCCUACGGGAGGCAGCAGUGGGGAAUAUUGGGCAAUGGGCGCAAGCCUGACCCAGCAACGCCGCGUGAAGGAAGAAGGCUUUCGGGUUGUAAACUUCUUUUGUCAGGGAACAGUAGAAGAGGGUACCUGACGAAUAAGCUCCGGCUAACUACGUGCCAGCAGCCGCGGUAAUACGUAGGGAGCGAGCGUUGUCCGGAUUUACUGGGUGUAAAGGGCGUGCAGCCGGGCUGGUAAGUCAGAUGUGAAAUGCGUGGGCUCAACCCACGAACUGCAUUUGAAACUGCUGGUCUUGAGUACCGGAGAGGUUAUCGGAAUUCCUUGUGUAGCGGUGAAAUGCGUAGAUAUAAGGAAGAACACCAGUGGCGAAGGCGGACAACUGGACGGCAACUGACGGUGAGGCGCGAAAGCGUGGGGAGCAAACAGGAUUAGAUACCCUGGUAGUCCACGCUGUAAACGAUGGAUACUAGGUGUGCGGGGACUGACCCCCUGCGUGCCGCAGUUAACACAAUAGGUAUCCCA